UGAUAUUUUACAUAUCAUCAUUGCAUCAAGAAGCAUUAAAACCAGCAAUGCAACAGUCGUGUCUAACGAUCUGAGAAACAUGUUUGCGUGUUACAUUAAAUCCACCAACGCUUUCAAAAAAUGCAGCUGUUCUUUUAAACACCUGAACAUCUCUCUCGACAGUCUAACAAUCAUUCUCUCAUCUCAUCACUCUAUCUUUCCGUCGACUUCACCAAGUUCACGUCCACUGUCACGUUCAACAUCUCUGUCAGCAUCUAGCGUUCAGCAGGGGAAUUCAGGUUUUUUUGACGCGAUGCAUUACAAGCACCGAUGCAUUCCGAAGUGGAGCUGUCAAACACCAGCGUGCCGCGCGCGCGCGCUCGCUCUCCUCCACACAGCAGAGUUGACGGGAGGUAAUCCCGUCCAUGUGAGGAGGCGGCACGGGCGCGGGGCGCGGGGCGGAGGCGGGUUGUUUUUCAUUCAAAUCCUUACUAGUCCUAUAAAAAGCGGAACUCGGAGCUAGAUAGAAAGAAAGAGAGAGAUAGAGAGGGAGGGAGAGAGAGAGCGAGAGAGAGAGAGAGAGGGAAAGCGCGGAGAUCGACACGGCUGUAUCUGUGGGGAUGGAGAUGCUGCACGGAUCCGCAGGUGUCCAAACGGCGCUGAAAAACGCCGCUGUGUGCGUCAUGCUGCUGCCGCGCUUCCUGCUCGCCGCCGUGAUGCUGUGGCUCCUGGAUUUCCUGUGCAUCCGGAGGAAGGUGCUCACGAAGAUGCGCGAGAGCGACCUGAGCCCCGACGACCCUCCGCUCUGCGUGUCAGACUCCAACAAGAUGUUCACGCUCGAGUCGCUGCGCGCGGUGUGGUACGGACACAAGCUGGACUUCUUCAAGACGGCGCGUCUGGGCGGCGCGGCGCCCAACACCGAGGUGGUCCCGCUGGACAGCGCGUCGCGGAGAGGCGCGCAGCGGAUCCUGGACUACGCCCGCGGGAGGAGACCCCUGAUCCUCAACUUCGGGAGCUGCUCCUGACCGCCGUUCAUGACGCGCCUCGCGGCGUUCCAGCGCGUCGCGCGGCAGUACGCGGACAUCGCGGACUCGCUGCUGGUGUACAUCGAGGAAGCGCAUCCUUCAGACGGCUGGGUGAGUUCCGACGCGCCGUACCAGAUCCCCCGGCACCGCUGCCUGGAGGACAGACUCCGCGCCGCGCAGCUCAUGAACCGCGAGGCACCGGGGAGCGCCGUGGUCGUGGACACCAUGGAGAACUCCUCGAACUCGGCGUACGGCGCUUAUUUCGAGCGCCUCUACAUACUGAAGGACGACAAGGUCGUGUAUCAAGGCGGCAGGGGACCGGAAGGCUACCGGGUGUCGGAGCUCAGAGACUGGCUCGAGCGCUACCGGAGCGAUCUGGAAGCUUCUAACGCGGAGACCGUGGUGCACGUUUAAGACGGAUGUUUUCUCUCCCUGCUGAAAACGAAAAAACACAUAUAGACACCAUCAUACAUGUGUAACGGUUGAACUGGUGAUGUUAGCACGCGCGCGUCUGCGAGAUGAUAACGCAUCUGCUGACGUCUUAAUUAUAAAGAGAUCUUAAAGCAGAUGAGCAGAGCGUCUGUAGAUGCACGUGUGCUGGCGGGAGAUUACCGGCUUGUGCUGGUUUGAAUGGAAACAGUCAUGGACCCUGUGGGUUUCUACUGGGAAUCGGUCAACUUUUAUUGGUGGCUUGUUAAAACCAUGCAGUCGUCAUGGAAUGUGUCCCAAAUCAUUCUGAAUUGGUUUAAUAGCUGGUGGUUUGCUGUUGAAACCAUCUGAAUGUCUGUGAUGGUUUCUAUUGUUGUUGUUUUCAGCAGGGUCUUGUCUUUAUCAAGCCGUUGGCUGCAUUUCAAUCCGGACACUUUUAGAAAUACAGGUGCUUGACGCGAGACACUGCAGGGGAAUAGGAUAGAAAUAUAUAGAAUUAACUAAUGCACUCUCAGGAAAAAAGAUACAAAAGUUGUCACUGGGCACACCUUUGUGUCUAAAGGUUAGAGGUUCACAUUAGUAGCUAAAGUGUAUAUCUUAGUACUUAAAAGGUACAAAAUCGUACCUUUUAAAAGGUUCCGCAUCAGGGAAAUCUUUUGUACCUUUUUUUCCUGAGUGUAGUCAUCGCCUUCCCUUACAGUUGAUUACAUUGAUAAUUGCAAACAUUUUUUUUUGUAAUACACGUUUUCUAAAAUACGCAACUGAGGCAUUGUUUUCUUUCCACUAGUCUGAAAAAAAAAAAAAAACACUUUAUGAAAAAACUAAAUUUCAAACUUGACAGGUUCAUGAAAAAUAAAACCCUGUGUUUGCCUGCAAUGUCUCUCCGCUUCAAAAGAAAGGUUUUUAUUGGCAUCGAUGGAUCCACAAAGAACCUUUACCAUACAUAGAACCUUCUCAUUCCACAUUCUUUACAGUAGUUCUCUAGUUUAUUAAAAAAUGUUCUUCACACAAUGAGAAAAAAAGGUUCUUUUGGGAACUGUUCACUGAAGGGUUCUUCUAUGACAUCACUGUGAAAAUCCUUCUUUGAAAGCUUUAUUUUUUAGAGAGAGAGUGAAAGGUACUUCACAGCGAUGCCAUCGAACAACCAUUUUCGGUUCCACAAACAACCACAAAUCUCUUUCUUUCCUUCUUAUCGUCUGAGGAACCUUCAAAGAAGCUUUUGUGAAACAUAAAGGUUCUUCAGAUGUUUAAGGUUCUCUACAGAAACCAUUUAGACAAAAAUGACAUCACGAAGCACCUUUGUUUCUAAGAGUGUAGCGGCUCGAUGUUUGCGAAAAGUUCCAUUAUAGAUCGUCUCGGUCUACACACUUUCUCAGCUGCAUUGAGAUGUUCUCAAGAAGGUCUUGACGGAGCGUGCAUUGAGCCAGGGGUCUUUAUUUUUAGCCAGGGGUCCAUGCACGGUAAAAGCAUUCUCUCAGGUAACCUAGACAUGAAACAUGACAUUAGGUUACACCAAUGAAAGCAUUUUUAAGAGUUUUUUUUUUAAAGUGUGUGGACCCCUGCGGGCCCAUGAAGGUACUCCAGGAGGAGAAAAGAGAUUAUACAUGAGCGCUGCUGGAUGGAUGCUUUCUCAGCUCAAUCUCGUGUCUUUAUAUUAAAGUCAUUAGCUGUGUUCAAAACUCAGUGACUGUCUGUGCACUUCUCACACUGAACGUUUCUGUAGAUCACCUUAGAAAUGCUGUAGAUGGCUCUUAAAAAAAAAAACAACAAGAUCCUGGGUGAGAAGAAAUGCUGCUUACACCAUUUGAAAAAACAGACUUAUGAUGUGCUUAGAACUAGAAUUUUAAAUAAAGUGCUGUCAUAGAAAAAUAGCUUCCUAGUUCUGAAAACCCUGGAGCUAGACUAGAAAAGACUUCUCUUAAACAUGCAUUUUGAGCAUCUAGAUGCGCAGCUCGCCAGGUUUUGAACACAGCCGUCGAAUCAGUGUCUUCAGCUGCUGCUACGGUCGAACACAACACUGCAAACGCUGGGGUUUAGUUUCAUGCAUACAGUUAUCUAGACAGAUGUUUGUGACCGCAUGAUAGCUGUUGUGCUUCAUCUCUGUUCUUUAGGCCGACUCGUUUCAUGUCAAUCCAACCUGGCAUUUUAUUUGAGAUAUUGCAGAAACGGUAUAUCUAUCUAUCUGAAACAUAUCCUGUUUUAUUUUUGUAUGGUAUUUUCCCUUGUGUGUGUGUGUGUGUGUGUGUGUGCGGCCAGGAGGCCCUUUCAUUGUACUCUGGAGUUAUUGUGAAGAUCGGUUUUUAAAAGGAUUUUAACCAGAAAACCGAUACUGAUGUAAUUUGACACUAGAGUACAGGACAGAGAAAUGGCCUCCAGACGUAUUGCCAAAUGUUGUUUUGUAAAUGGUGUAUAUUUUAUUGAACACUUUUUUUAAAUAAAUGGUAGAGCACCCUCUAAAUCAGGCUUAUCUGUAAUUUCUAGGUGAGUUUGACUCCUCGAAUGGACCUGAAAUAUAAAAAUAAAGUCGUGUUAGAUACGGCGUGAUAAUUUAUUGCCGACAAAUAAAUAAUUGAUGUAUUUUA